ACCAGGGUUAUUACGGCGGGUACGGGUCAGACUUUGAAUUUGGCGGAUAUGACAAUGGAAAUAUCGGAUAUGGAAACGGAUACGAUUUUGGAGAAAGCUGGGGAAAUGGAUAUGGUGAAGGACAUGGUUUGAUCAGCAUUGGAAAAGGAUACGGUAUUGGCGGAGGAUAUGGAAAUGGAUACGGUGAAGGACAUGGUUUGAUCAGUAUUGGUAAAGGAUAUGGUAUUGGCGGAGGAUAUGGAAAUGGAUACGGUGAAGGACAUGGUUUGAUCAGUGUUGGAAAGGGAUACGGUAUUGGCGGAGGGUAUGGAAAAGGACAUGGUGUUGUCAGUGUUGGAAAAGGAAAAUAUGGUCAGUAUUGAGAACAGUAAAAAAAAUAGUAACAGAAACAGUCCCAAAGUGCUACACAAUUCUCAAGAACCAUAUGAAAAUAAAACUUGGAAUUAAAAAUA